CCUAAUACAUGCAAGUCGAGGGGUAACAUGAGAGCUUGCUCUUGAUGACGACCGGCGCACGGGUGCGUAACGCGUAUGCAAUCUACCUACAGCAGAGGGAUAGCCCGUGGAAACAUGGAUUAAUACCUCAUAAUACAGGGGGCCCGCAUGGGCAUAUUGUUAAAGAUUUAUCGGCUGUAGAUGAGCAUGCGUCCCAUUAGUUAGUUGGUACGGUAACGGCGUACCAAGGCGAUGAUGGGUAGGGGUUCUGAGAGGAUGAUCCCCCACACUGGUACUGAGAUACGGACCAGACUCCUACGGGAGGCAGCAGUAGGGAAUAUUGGUCAAUGGACGGAAGUCUGAACCAGCCAUGCCGCGUGCAGGAAGACGGCCUUCUGGGUUGUAAACUGCUUUUAUCAGGGAAGAAAAGGCUCUUGCGAGAGACAUUGCCGGUACCUGAAGAAUAAGCACCGGCUAACUCCGUGCCAGCAGCCGCGGUAAU
rnacentral:rRNA from 1 species